GAUGAACGCUGGCGGCGUGCCUAAUACAUGCAAGUCGAGCGAACAGACGAGGAGCUUGCUCCUCUGACGUUAGCGGCGGACGGGUGAGUAACACGUGGAUAACCUACCUAUAAGACUGGGAUAACUUCGGGAAACCGGAGCUAAUACCGGAUAAUAUAUUGAACCGCAUGGUUCAAUAGUGAAAGACGGUUUUGCUGUCACUUAUAGAUGGAUCCGCGCCGCAUUAGCUAGUUGGUAAGGUAACGGCUUACCAAGGCAACGAUGCGUAGCCGACCUGAGAGAGUGAUCGGCCACACUGGAACUGAGACACGGUCCAGACUCCUACGGGAGGCAGCAGUAGGGAAGCUUCCGCAAUGGUCGAAAGCCUGGCGGAACAACGCCGCGUGAGUGGUGAAGAUCUUCGGAUCGUAAAGCUCUGUUAUUGGGGAAAAACAAAUGUGUGAGUAACUAUGCACGUCUUGACGGUACCUAAUCAGAAAGCCACGGCUAACUACGUG
rnacentral:rRNA from 1 species